rnacentral:antisense_RNA from 1 species
GAUGUCUGAGGAAUAGUCUUAGUGGAUUAUCCCAAACUUGACACAUUUUUUGCAAAAUGCUAUACAAAAAGAAGAUACAUGUGAUUAUGACAAGAUUCUCCACUUGGUGUGACCGGUCUCAUACAACCCAAGGCUGUGUGUCCAAACGCAAUUGCACUUCUGGGACUGGAAACAAAUUGGGAACAUUUUUCAUUGCAUAUUUGGCUCAGAUCUGUGACUUAGUUGAAGUAUAAUCUUCAGCAAGUGACUCAAAAUUUCUGAAUCUCGUUUUCACCAUCAAUACAAGACAACAAUAAUAUUUUCUCUUUUAAGUAUUUGGAAGUGUUGAGAAAGCCAUAAUAGCAACACUUGCAAAAGGGCUCCAUUGUAAAAUGCAAGGUAGAGGUAGUUGUGACCCUUUGGGGAAAACUAUAGUUGCCACAAUUAUCUCUGAAGUGAAGCACGUUUCUUAGACUGAAGGAAAGCCCUGGGAGAGAUUGGUCUAGCUUUAGCAUGACUGUGGGUAGAGCUUCUAGGGAGAAGAAUGAAAUGUAUUCCUCUUUUCCUUCUCUCUAGGAAUACUGGAAAGCAUUUAUUUGUUUGCUAAAUUGCUCUCUUUCCACCAGUGAUAUCGAUUCUGAAAUACUUUUUAGAUCUUGACAAUAAUCAAAAUGUAGCCAGGUGCAUUGG